rnacentral:rRNA from 1 species
UGGCGGACGGGUGAGUAAUGUCUGGGAAACUGCCCGAUGGAGGGGGAUAACUACUGGAAGCGGUAGCUAAUACCGCAUAACGUCGCAAGACCAAAGAGGGGACCUUCGGGCCUUUUGCCAUCGGAUGUGCCCAGAUGGGAUUAGCUAGUAGGUGGGGUAACGGCUCACCUAGGCGACGAUCCCUAGCUGGUCUGAGAGGAUGACCGGCCACACUGGAACUGAGACACGGUCCAG